CUACACCCUGAACUGGUCGCCAGUGAGUCAUAGGGCUCACAGAAACACCAUUUACUCUUAAAACCACAUAAUCACCGAGUGGGUACUGAACCAAUGGUGUAUGUACCAUAAUCAGAUGAAUGUACCACUAAUACCCAACCGUUGACUAAUUUAAUCUUCAUUUUUCAAGCCGCUCAUCCACACAAGGGAGGCAGGAGUGGCGUAGCCUACUUGGGCUAACUUUUGGCCGAAAGGCAGACCACACCCUGAACUGGUCAUGACUAAUUUCAAUUAUACCUAAUAUUAUUGACUGAGGCCAGCACGGUGGAACAGCUGAUAAAGCGUUGGCCUCACAGUUAUGAGGACCGGGUUCAAUCCCGGAUCCGCCUGUAUGGAGUUUGCAUGUUCUCCCUGUGCGUGCGGGGGUUUCCUCCGGGCACUCCAGUUUCCUCCCACAUUUCAAAAAGAUGUAACAUUAAUUGGACACUCUAAAUUGCCCCUAAGUGUGAUUGUGAAUGCAGCUGUUUGUAUCGACGUGCCUGUGAUUGGCUAGGAGCCAGUUCAGGGUGGACCCUGCCACCCUACCAAUUGACAGUUGAGAUGAGCUCCAGCACUCCCCGUGACCCUUGUGAGGGCAGCGUGGGUUCGAUUCCUGCUCAGUGAUAGUGUCGAUAUCUACCCUGCGACUGACUGGUGACCAGUUCAGGGUUUAGACCGCCUGAAGCCACUUGGGGUUGGCUCCAGCUCUCCCGUAACCCUU